ACAAAACUCCAUGGACGUUUCAGCUGCUCAAACACCAGUGGCCUGAGCACUGGCCAGCUCCAAAAAGCAUCCUUGUGUAUUGGUUCUCCCUCCUUUCCUGAGUCUCUUUCUGGAAUCAUAGGAGAAUUUCCCCAAUAAAAAGCAAUAAAAUACAAAUAGAAAUGCAGUGUGCACCCUUCAGACCCAGAUAAAGAACAACAAAGCCAUGCUGAAAUGUCAGUGCUCAUUGCUGGGAGUCCUGCUGGGGACCUAGCCAGACCUCAGCACUCCCAUCCUGUCCAGCACACACACACCUCAUCCCCAACUUCCUCCUGAGCCCAAUGAUUCACACACAGCAGGAACAAUUCAAACUUGUCCCUCAGUAAGAUUACAAAUUACCAGACCCCAUGGUUCUAAAACUAAUGGCUGAGAGGUAUAGAGUACCCACGGGAUACCAGGUGCUGUAUGAAGUGCUGUCUAUACAUUUAUCUCAUUUCAUUCAGCUCAACUGAAUGAGAAGAAUACUAUUGUUACCCCACAGACACACUUCUGAUGAGAUGCUUAAAUUUAGUGAAUUAGACACUUUGGCAAGUAUCUGACCAAUUCACAAUCAUCUUCAAUCUCCUGAACUCCCCGAUCUUUGCCCCACAAUCCAGAAAUGGAACUUCCCAAGAAACAUGCUUUUACCACCUGGUGCUGUCCAAUGGGCCAUUCAAAAGCCCAAAUUUGAACUGACAGCAAGAGAGACUGAAAGUUGGUUGCUAAGUCUUAGCAGCAGAGACUGGAAAGAGGUACAGUGAGCUCCCGCUGCCAACAUCAGGCAGCCUUUGCAGCCCAUGAGAGAUCUUCCAGCGAGCUCUUUUUCCAAAGCUAGAUUUCUGUUCCUUGCUAUGACCUCCGUGACUCUGAUGGCAGAACGCAAGGGGGAGCAUCACCCACUCCAGGAACGAGAAAGAGCCCUAUGCCGCAAGGUAGACCUUACCCACUCCAGCCUUGCCAAUUCCAUUUGCAGGAGCCAAGGGGGCCGCAGAACUCAGAGUGCUCUGGCAAGACCUCUUUGCCCUUCCUUCUCCCGUCACUCACACCCUGACUACACCCUCUGCCUUGUCACCAUCAGAUCCUUUAUCUCUGCUACAUCAGCCACCAUAAGAAGCCCAGGACUCCAAAGCAUCUGUGUGUCUUUUCUGACCCCUAUUUCCUACAACUACCCACCCUUAGCUUCUGACAUUCUUCCACCACACCUGCUGGAUCACACAAUGAGUCCUCAAGAAAAUCACCCGUUGGCCGGGCACAAUGGCUCUCACCUGUACUCCCAGAACUUUGGGAGGUUGAGGCCGGCAGAUUGCCUGAGGUCAGGAGUUUGAGACCAGCCUGGCCAACAUAGUGAAACCCCGUCUCUACUAAACAUACAAAAAUUGGCCAGUGUGGUGGCGGGUGCCUAUAGUCCCAGCUACUCAGGAGGCUGAGACAGGAAAAUCACUCGAACCCGGGAGGCAGAGGUUGCAGUGAGCCCAGAUUGCACCACUACACUUCAGCCUGGGCAACAAAGCAAGACUCUAUCUCCAAAAAAAAAAAAAAGAAAAGAAAGUCACUUCUCUUCUUAGCCUCCUCUGGGCUCAUUUCCUUCACCUCUUGCUCUAACUGAAGCCUGAGGAUGCUGCUUCUCCUGC
rnacentral:lncRNA from 1 species